AUAAACGCUGGCGGCGUGCUUUAAAACAUGCAAGUCGGACGGGUUCCCCUUCGGGGGGGCCAGUGGCAGACGGCUGAGUAAGACAUGCGUGACCCGGUCCUGGUGUGGGGGACAACUCCGCGAAAAGCGGGGCUAAUACCGCGUACGUCCACGGGAGUAGUGUUUUCGUGGAGAAAGCCGAAAGGUGCACGAGGGCGGGCGGAUGGCCCAUCAGGUAGUUGGGGGGGGUAAACGGCUUCCCAAGCCACUGACGGGUAGCUGGUCUGAGAGGAUGACCAGCCAAGACUGGGACUGGGGACACGGCCCAGACUCCUACGGGAGGCAGCAGUUAGGAAUCUUGCGCAAUGGACGAAAGUCUGACGCAGCGACCGCCGCGUGGGGGAUGACGGUCUUCGGAUUGUAAACCCCUUUUGCCCGGGACGAGGAAGGACGGUACCGGGCGAAUCAGCCCCGGCUAACUACGUGCCAGCAGCCGCGGUAAUACGUAGGGGGCAAGCGUUGUCCGGAUUUACUGGGCGUAAAGGGCGCGUAGGCGGCCUGGUUUGUCGGGGGUGAAAGGUCCGGGCUUAACCUGGACAGGUCUCCUCGAAACGGCCAGGCUUUGAGGGCGGUAGAGGCUGGUGGAAUUCCGGGUUGUAGUGGUGAAAUGCGUAGAGAUCCGGAGGAACACCGGUGGCGAAGGCGGCCAGCUGGGCCGGGCCCCUGACGCUGAGGGCGCGAAAAGCGUGGGGAGCGAACUGAAUUAGAUACUCAGGUAGUCCACGCCCCUAAACGCUGGACACUAGGUGUGGGGGGGUAUCGACCCCCUCCCGUGCCCGCGCCUAAAACGCAGUAAGUGUCCCGCCUGGGGAGUACGGGCCGCAAGGCUAAAACUCAAAGGAAUUGACGGGGGCCCGCACAAGCAGCGGAGCGUGUGGUUUUAAUUCGACGCAACGCGCAGAACCUUACCAGGGCUUGACAUGCCUCGGCACCGUCGUGAAAAGCGGCGUCCCCGCAAGGGGCCGAGGCACAGAUGCUGCAUGGCUGUCGUCAGCUCGUGCCGUGAGGUGUUGGGUUAAGUCCCGCAACGAGCGCAAACCCGCGCGGCCAGUUACCCUCUCUGGCCGGACUGCCGCGACUAACGCGGAGGAAGGUGCGGAUGAUGUCAAGUCAGCACGGGCUCUUACGUCCUGGCUACACACACGCUACAAUGGGCGGUACAAACGGGUCGCGAAAGCCGCGAGGCGGAGCCAAUCCCAGCAAAGCCGUCCCCAGUUUCAGAUCGCAGUCUGCAACCCGACUGCGUGAAGGCGGAGUUGCUAGUAACCGCAGGUCAGCACACCUGCGGUGAAUACGUUCCCGGGGCCUUGUACACACCGCCCGUCACGUCAUGGAAGCCGGCAACACCUGAGGCCGCUGGCCGAAUCCCGUUUUCGGAUGGGAACGGAGGCGUCGAAGGUGGGGCGGGUAAACUGGGACG
rnacentral:rRNA from 1 species